rnacentral:rRNA from 1 species
AGUCUAAGGGACACUAAACCCGGAGGCGAAGUGAAAACGAGCCAUCACUGGCACGAGGGAAGAUGGUCGGGCGGUCUCCGUCCGGCCCGCACUCCCGGGGUUGCCCGUCUUCGGACGAGGGAGCACCUAGAGCGCACUUGCUGGGACCCGAAAGAUGGUGAACUAUGCCGGGCCAGGACGAAGUCAGGGGAAACCCUGAUGGAGGUCCGCCGCGGUUCUGACGUGCAAAUCGAUCGUCAGAGCUGGGUAUAGGGGCGAAAGACCAAUCGAACCAUCUAGUAGCUGGUUCCCUCCGAAGUUUCCCUCAGGAUAGCUGGCGCCCGCUUUGUAUGACGAGUCUCAUCUGGUAAAGAGAAUGACUAGAGGCAUUGGGGCCGUAACGGCCUCAACCUAUUCUCAAACUUUAAAUGGGUGAGAGACCCGGCCUGCCUGGGCGAGGCCGGGGUCUCGGGAUCAGGGUGCCUAGUGGGCCAAUUUUGGUAAGCAGAACUGGCGCUGUGGGAUGAA